UACGUAGGGGGCAAGCGUUGUCCGGAGUUACUGGGCGUAAAGCGCACGCAGGCGGUCUCUUAAGUUUGGAGUGACAGUUGGUGGCUUAACUGCCAAAGUGCUUCGAAAACUGAGAGACUUGAGGGCUUCAGAGGGGCACGGAAUUCCGGGUGGAGUGGUGAAAUGCGUAGAGAUCCGGAGGAACACCAAAGGCGAAGGCAGUGUCCUGGGGAGUACCUGACGCUCAGGUGCGAAAGCCAGGGGAGCGAACGGG
rnacentral:rRNA from 1 species